UACGGAGGGUGCAAGCGUUAAUCGGAAUUACUGGGCGUAAAGCGCGCGUAGGCGGCUGGAUAAGUCGAUUGUGAAAGCCCCGGGCUCAACCUGGGAAUUGCAGUCGAGACUGUUCGGCUAGAGUGUGGGAGAGGGUGGUGGAAUUCCCGGUGUAGCGGUGAAAUGCGUAGAUAUCGGGAGGAACAUCAGAGGCGACGGCGACCACCUGGAUCUACACUGACGCUGAGGUGCGAAAGCGUGGGUAGCAAACAGG
rnacentral:rRNA from 1 species